rnacentral:rRNA from 1 species
UCGGGAAUUUUGCUCAAUGGGCGCAAGCCUGAAGCAGCAACGCCGCGUGAGGGAUGAAGGCCUUCGGGUUGUAAACCUCUUUCUCAGGGACGAUGAUGACGGUACCUGAGGAAUAAGCCACGGCUAACUACGUGCCAGCAGCCGCGGUAAUACGUAGGUGGCAAGCGUUGUCCGGAUUUACUGGGCGUAAAGAGCGCGCAGGCGGUCGGAUCAGUCGAAUGUGAAAGCCCCCGGCUCAACUGGGGAGGGUCAUUCGAUACUGUCCGACUCGAAGGCAGGAGAGGGAAGCGGAAUUCCCGGUGUAGUGGUGAAAUGCGUAGAUAUCGGGAGGAACACCAGUGGCGAAGGCGGCUUUCUGGCCUGUUCUUGACGCUGAGGCGCGAAAGCUAGGGGAGCGAACGGGAUUAGAUACCCCGGUAGUCCUAGCCGUAAACGAUGGACACUAGGUGUUGGUGGUAUCAACCCCACCAGUGCCGUAGCUAACGCAUUAAG